CAGUAGCCGCGGUAAUACGAAGGGGGCUAGCGUUGUUCGGAAUUACUGGGCGUAAAGGGCGCGUAGGCGGCCAUUCAAGUUAGGUGUGAAAGCCCUGGGCUCAACCUAGGAAUUGCAUUUGAUACUGUUUGGCUUGAGUUCGGGAGAGGUGAGUGGAAUUCCCAGUGUAGAGGUGAAAUUCGUAGAUAUUGGGAAGAACACCAGUGGCGAAGGCGGCUCACUGGACCGACACUGACGCUGAGGCGCGAAAGCGUGGGGAGCAAACAGGAUUAGAUACCCCGGUAGUCCCUGUCUCUUAUAC
rnacentral:rRNA from 1 species